CGGUAGAGUAAUAAUAGUAAAGGAUUGACGACUUACAGAGGAGCCGCGGAUCAUUGCCUACAGUACGAAAGGAUCGGCAUAUUUCUAAGAAAAUGUUUGGACACAGGGUACUGAAGCGACGAGGAGCCAAAAUGCGAAUUGGCCAUGAAUGAGAUAGCAGAAGUUCAAGGUGUAGGCACGAGCGUUGGCAUUGGAGCUGGCGUUAUUAUCUUUAUUUUAAUUAUCUUCGGAUUAAUUUAUCUUAGGCUCUACGCCGAUCAAAAACACCGAAAAUGUUCAAGCCGCGGAACGAAAGGAGGAUCUAAACGCCACCGUUAUGUCUUACGCG